rnacentral:rRNA from 1 species
UACGAAGAGGGCUAGCGUUGUUCGGAAUCACUGGGCGUAAAGCGCACGUAGGCGGACUCUUAAGUCGGUGGUGAAAUCCUGGAGCUCAACUCCAGAACUGCCUUCGAUACUGAGAGUCUUGAGUCCGGGAGAGGUGAGUGGAACUGCGAGUGUAGAGGUGAAAUUCGUAGAUAUUCGCAAGAGCACCAGUGGCGAAGGCGGCUCACUGGCCCGGUACUGACGCUGAGGUGCGAAAGCGUGGGGAGCAAACAGG